rnacentral:rRNA from 1 species
CACGUAGGGCGCGAGCGUUGUCCGGAAUUAUUGGGCGUAAAGAGCUCGUAGGCGGCCUGUUGCGUCCGCUGUGAAAGCCCGGGGCUUAACCCCGGGUCUGCAGUGGAUACGGACAGACUAGAGGUAGGUAGGGGAGAAUGGAAUUCCCGGUGUAGCGGUGAAAUGCGCAGAUAUCGGGAGGAACACCGGUGGCGAAGGCGGUUCUCUGGGCCUUACCCUGACGCUGAGGAGCGAAAGCGUGGGAGCGAACAG